rnacentral:rRNA from 1 species
GAUGAACGCUGGCGGCGUGCCUAAUACAUGCAAGUCGAGCGAACAGAUGAGGAGCUUGCUCCUCUGACGUUAGCGGCGGACGGGUGAGUAACACGUGGAUAACCUACCUAUAGGACUGGGAUAACUUCGGGAAACCGGAGCUAAUACCGGAUAAUAUAUUGAACCGCAUGGUUCAAUAGUGAAAGACGGUUUUGCUGUCACUUAUAGAUGGAUCCGCGCCGCAUUAGCUAGUUGGUAAGGUAACGGCUUACCAAGGCGACGAUGCGUAGCCGACCUGAGAGGGUGAUCGGCCACACUGGAACUGAGACACGGUCCAGACUCCUACGGGAGGCAGCAGUAGGGAAUCUUCCGCAAUGGGCGAAAGCCUGACGGAGCAACGCCGCGUGAGUGAUGAAGGUCUUCGGAUCGUAAAACUCUGUUAUUAGGGAAGAACAAAUGUGUAAGUAACUAUGCACGUCUUGACGGUACCUAAUCAGAAAGCCACGGCUAACUACGUG